GGGCGAGUAGCUCAGCGGGAGAGCAUCCGGUUUACACCCGGAAGGUCGCAGGUUCGAUCCCUGCCUCGCCCACCA
rnacentral:tRNA from 1 species